rnacentral:rRNA from 1 species
UACGAAGGGGGCUAGCGUUGUUCGGAAUCACUGGGCGUAAAGCGCACGUAGGCGGACCUAUAAGUCAGGGGUGAAAUCCCGGGGCUCAACCUCGGAACUGCCUUUGAUACUGUGGGUCUCGAGACCGGAAGAGGUGGGUGGAAUUCCUAGUGUAGAGGUGAAAUUCGUAGAUAUUAGGAAGAACACCAGUGGCGAAGGCGGCUUCCUGGACCAAUACUGACGCUGAGGCGCGAAGGCGUGGGGAGCAAACAGG